GGUCCAUUAGCUCAGGAGGUAGAGCACAUGACUUUUAAUCAUGUGGCCCCGGGUUCGAAUCCCGGCUCGCUCACCA
rnacentral:tRNA from 1 species